UGUAUGAGAGAGAUCAAAACAAGGAGAGUUGAGAGAACUCCACUAUGUUCUAAAUAGUAUGUUAAAAUAAUAACUACAUAAAUUUAUACAUUUAAAAUUUUAUAUUUAACUGUAGAUAUAAAUGUUGAAUUGGAGUAGAUAUCCCACUCUGAAACUUUUGUAUUUAUGAUUUUUUGUCAUUUUAACGGAUAUUGACAAAACAAGAAGAGUUGAGAGAACUCCACUAUGUUCCAAAUAGUAUUUACUUUACUUCGAAGAUUUUUUUUUUUUUUUUUUUGGCUCAACUUCAACUUUUCAUUAACCAAAGGAGUAGUACAUGAUCUUAACCACAAAGGAUUCAACCACACUUACAAACAAAGUAAUCUAGUAUCACCCAGGAACACAUAGAUGGAUCCUACGCUACCCGAUCGAGACUUUGUUGUAAUUCUACCCAAUGAGUACAAGCAUUCCCCACGACUCGGAAAACACUGUCUCUUAGACCCCUAAAUUCGACCACACGAAUGAACAACGGGAAGUCCGAAGAUAAACUGAAACUAAUCAAAGUUUAACAUUUAGAAACCAAGCAUUAGUCGCAAAAAGAUAUGCGUUCCGGACUCGGACCAAUUCUUCAACACCGAAAUGGUGCAACCUUGAUUAGAUUCAGCAUCACUGGACUUGACCGUCUCACUCCUUAGCCGGAAAGACGGCACAGAGCCGUACUGAUAAAAUCGGACCUGACAACCAACAAACACAACCGGAACAGCAUACCCUAGCUUCAAAUGGCGUGAGACCUUACCACCGGACAAUCUGCAGUGACGCCGGUGCUGGGAUGUAGGGCCUCACCGUGUGCGACCCGUGAAGCGUCCUCCACCGGUUGACUACUCCGACGGCGUUAAACUUCACCACACGUUACUUCGAAGAUUUAUAGAUAUCCAAAUCGAAUCAAAACAAAAUUAACGGAUAAAUUGCCAAACUUUAUUCUCAAUAAAGAUGAAGAGCACAAUUAGUAAUUUCACAUUUUCCUAGACAGAUGUCUAUCAGAUAGAUGGACAUGGGCCUUGGUCCAACAAAUGUCUAUCACAUAGAUCUACUGGCUUCUGGCAAUAUCAAUGAGGAGGAUCCUCUUGCUUAUGACUGCCUCACUAGUGACUUUUUAUUUUUAACAAGUAAAUCAAGGCUAGUGGUUGUUACCAUUACAACAUGAUAUCGAGAAUUCAAAUUUUGAGAAUUGAAUUGAAUACAUUCUAAUAAGGGCUAAUUGGCUGAGUAGCUACAAAAAAAAAUAAAGUCAAGGGAAUGGACAAGAUUUUGACGUAAUACAUUCGUUCGCUUUUUGCCUUCUUUUCUGCCGGUUAUGUCCUUAUACAUAAGAAGUUACCGGUUCCAACUCAUGGAAAAAACAACGUGGUGAUUUUGUGUCCCUUAAUAACAAUGACACACUUUAUAAAGCGCGUGGGUAAACCAUAUUCAAAAGUAAAGGAAGGAAAACAUGGAGAGAGACGAGUUGAUGAAAAGCUUAAGUGUGAAAAAAACAACGGUGUUUAACGAAGAAUGCAAGAAUGUAGUUCCAUACUAUAUAUUUUAGAUAGAAUUCAAAUAUAUGGGAGACGUUUCCAUUCGACAUGACUAACGUAGAAUAGAACCCUGUUUGUAAUUUAGUAAUAUAAUCACGAACAAAGACAGUGGAGUGGGCGGUUGGGGAGAGGCAAUGAUGUAUUUACUGCAAUAAAUUUACAAUUGUGGUUUACAACUCUUCUGUUUUUAAGAGUAGGAGAAAGCCACAAGAAUGUAGUUCCAUACUAUAUAUUUUAGAUAGAAUAAUAUAAGUACAAAUAUAUGGGAGACGUUUCCAUGUAUAUCUUACAUACAUAUGACGAAUGUUCUGUUCCAUAUCACCUAAGUAGUAUAGGAUUAUAAAUCCACUUAUAAUCCCUAAAUACUAAACAUAUCCCAACCACAAUUCCUAGAUACUAAACAUUAUCUCAAUCUCACCCAACCCCUAAAUACUAAACCCUAAAAUUUAAUCAGUAAACCCUAAAAACAAAUAUAAACAAUAAACUCAAAUAUAAACCCAAAAUCCAGAUAGAAUGGAACAAAAUAAAUAACAUAGUACAUAUUGGUGAAAUUAUGAAAUGUCUAUGAUUGCAUAAAAAAGUUAACGUCGACAAUAACCAUACUUCCCCACCUUCUAAAUACUAAACCCUAAACUCUAAUCACUAAACCUUACCCAAAUAUAAACCCUAAACCUAAAUAUAAAUCAUAAACCCAAAUAACAUGGAAUAAAAUAAAUAACAUAGUACCUAUUGGUGAGAUUAUGAAAUAUAUAUGAUUGCAAGGAAGAAGUUCAUGCCGACCCAAAACCAUACUCCCUCACUUUCUAAAUACUAAACUCUAAACUUAAAUCACUAAACCCUAAUCCAAAUAUAAACCAUAAACCUAAAUAUAAAUCAUAAACCCAAAUAGCAUGAAAUAAAAUAAAUAACAUAGUACCUAUUGGUGAGAUUAUGAAAUAUAUAUGAUUGUAAGGAAGAAGUUCAUGCCGACCCAAAACCAUACUCCUUCACUUUCUAAAUACUAAACCCUAAACUUAAAUCACUAAACCCUAAUCCAAAGAUAAACCCUAAACCCAAAUAUCAAAAUUUAAAAAGUACAUAAAAUUGUGUAGUAUUAAAUUAUAUUAUGUAAUAUUAAAGAAACAUCAUAUGAAUACCAUUCGACUCAACAUCACAUUGUAUUAUGUUUUAUCUGAUGUCAUAAUAAAUUUUAUUCCAUUUAUGUUUAAUAUACUAUUUCUCUUUACAAAAUCAUAUACACAUCAAUAUAAAAUAUGGAAAGGUCAAUACAUUCAAUAUUGUUUGUCAUUCACAACAAUAAAAAAUAAGUAUAUCUGACGACAUCAGUGAAGAUAGUACAUGCAACCGCAUCGGAGAAAAUAAUUUUGUUGUUGAUUCACUAGAUAGAAGAGAAGAACAUACAGUCAUAGAAUUAUGAGAAGAGGGACAAUUGCGGCAGAAACGAAUACAAUAGUUUCGAUUGUAUAGAUGGAGGUGAUCGCCACUGAACAAGUCAUGUCACUCGCCACACAAGUCUUCAAAACUCUAUUAUUCACCACAAUCCUUCACCAUCAACAGAGACAAUUUCAUCAACAAUUUCAUACAUCACAGAACAUCACAUAUUAAAUUAUGAUGAUUAAUUAUGUGGUGAUGUCAACACACAUUAUUUUUAAACUGAAAACCACUUCUAUAACAUAUACUAUACUAUUAACAUAAUAAUUACUAUACUAUGCGGGUAGACAUAUGUACUACUCCAUUUAUAUACAACACAGUCACCCACCAAAAUAUAGUUUAUAUAUUAUGGAAAUAGACAUCUAUACUACUUUAUUUACUUUUAUAUAGUAUAUUUUAUUUACAAAUUCACACAAACAAAGUAUUAGAGGUUGACAUAGCUAUCUUCAUCAGGUCUAUUUCCAUGUAUAUACACAGUUAACUAUAUUGUCAUGCAAAUGGAGUACAAGCACCAUGUAUAUAAACAGAAAAUCCCAAACUUCUGGUUUCUUUACUUUACAAUAUCAGAUUCCGACAUGUAAUAUGUAAUGAAUGAAAAUUCAGAAAAUUUAAGAGCAGUAAAACAACUUACAUAAUAGGCAAUGUGAAUUUGUGUUACCGCCGUUACGGUGCCGUCUUACUCACGCCUUUUGUCACCUACCGAGCCUUCGAUAAUGGUCUUCUUCUCCACAAACUCACCAAAAAUGUAAUCGGUGGCGUCUUAAUCGCUCAAAUAUGAAGAUGAAUCUAUUGACCUUUCCAUAUUUUACCAUUUGCUUUGUUAAUUGUGUGAGAGUAACUAAAGGCCACGUCUUUCUUUUAGAAUCACUAGUUAAUAAUUUAGAUUAUAAUUUUUUUGCAGGUUUUACCGGUUAAAUGAAAGGGUAGGAUGGCAAUAUUAUAGAAAAGACACAUUGUGUAUCGUUAUAUUAGGGAAAUUGACUACUUCAUGAAUUAUCCUUUUUUUCUUGGUUAUACAGGCAUAUUUCCCUUCUAAUAAUUCUUAUUAAAGUUUUAAAAUAAUUUUUUAUUUAUUUUGACAGCUUUUAAAUUGACAUGUAGUCGUUAUCCGUAGAAAGGAAAGAAUGUAUGGACUUGAUUCACUGAAGAAAUAUCUAGCAUCUCUGCUACCGCUCCUAUUUUGUUUUCUUUUAGAGGUUCUGCCAGCGGUUAUCCAAAGACAAUUAUCAAAGAUCAAGCUCGCGUGAUUCAGAAAUAAAAUAGUCAGAUUCAUGCAUAGGUACGUGUCGUUCUCGGUUAUCUGGCUGAAAAAAAAUCCAAAUUUGGCGAGCAUUCUUCAGAUCAGCACCGUGCCUCCUAGGAUUCAAGCCAAAGACGACAGAUCCGAAGACGUUUAGAUUCUUUUUAACACUAGUACCUUAAUGUUAAUUAUAAUUUAUUUGUGUUGAAUUUCAGAUUUAAUGUUAAUUAUAAUUUAUUUGUUUUUAAUAAUUUUAAUCUAUAUAUUUAAUUUUGUAAAGAAAAUUUUGUUUUAUGAAAUUGCGAUGGAGACUUCUUGUUUCUUCGCAAAUUCCUAGCAAAUUUACUAGAAAAUUACGAGGGUGUAUUUUGGAUCCAUCGCAAAUACUUUGUAAAUUAGUUAGGGAAUUGCAAGGGUAAAUUCAUUUUUUUGGACAAAGCAAGGGUAAAUUCUCUGUUGCAAAUUUACUAAAAAAUUAUGAAGGUAUACUCUGAUUCCUUCACGAAUUCUAAGCAAAUGUGCUAAAGAUUGCGGAGGGAAUAGCAACCAAAAAAAAAAAACAAUUUGCUAGUAAAGAUUUGCGAGGAAAAACCGUCAUUAUCAAAUACCUCGCAAAUGUCCAUUUGCAACUUUUUAGAGUUUUUCUCUUGCAAAUCGGGUUAUUUCUUGUAGUGAAAGAUAUGAUUCCUCUCCACUAUUUUCUUGAUAUCCAACCAUACUUUCAGAGCGAUGAUCUGUUCGUAUGCCAAGAGAAUCAUAUAUCAGACUUACGUAUCAUAGUGGGAAUAGCUGAUUGUGCUUUAAUGCUUACCCAUCUUCCUUUGCAACUAGGUAAAGUGCAUUGUCAGGAAGAGUUGUUUUCAAAAUCAACAUAGUUUUGGAGUUUUGUUGGAAAGCUUCAGUACACCCGACAUACAAUAUGCGGUGAACUAUGUCUGCUAGAAGAUGCAUUCUCCUAAAUCAAUGACUUCUCCAAUCUAAAGUGCAUUUAACACUAUUUUAAAGAUGCACAUUGACUGGGAAUAAACCUUGCAUAUAAUACUAAUUUCACUACUCACGAUUAUAGUGACUGAUUGAGCUUGUUACCGAGAGACACAGAGGUGUACCAGGGUUUCUACACUUUUCUUAGCUCAAAUUUAAUCUCCUGGUCUGCUAUACGCAAUCUCACAAUUUCACACUCUUCCACUGAAGCAGAAUAUUGUACUUUGUCCGAUAGGGCUGUAAAAUUGAAGUUUCUACACUUUUCUUAGCUCAAAUUUAAUCUCCUGGUCUGCUAUACGCAAUCUCACAAUUUCACACUCUUUCACUGAAGCAGAAUAUUGUACUUUGUCCGAUAGGGCUGUAAAAUUGAAGUUGAUUGCUACUAUUAUUUGAUAAAUGGGGUUCUCGUUACUAGUCAUACAUGGAGUAUACAGUGAUAAAAUAUAUGUGGUUUACUUAACAAAGAAUCCAAUUCAACACAAUCAGACCGAAACAUUUGUAUACGGAUUUUCACUAUGUUCAUGUACAGAGUUGUACUUGGUGCCUAAGUGGUUCAUCAAAUUCCAGGUGCUGAACAACUUGAUGGCACUUUCACAAAUUCCUUAACGCAGCAACCAUUUUUUGCUUCUCGUAGACUUGGGUUGUAUGUUCUACCUGCCACAAAGGGGGUUUGUAAACAGUAGUGAAGCAAAGACACAAGGUAAGAAGGAUGCUUUCUUCAAGCCCAAAUACAAAAGAAAGAAGAUAUGGGCAACCGACAAAAGAUCGACACCAGUAUGUCGUUCUAGCUCCUAAACAGCAACAAAGCUGUGACAAAAGCAGGUUUAUGUACGACAAUUAUAGCGCACGCAAUCUAACUUCAUAAUAUACUUGAUUCAUUAAAGGAGGGUAUGAUCACGUGGUUCUAAUCCUGUUUUUUUAAUCUUUUAGCAUGUAUUCACAUAUUUUAUGUAAAAUAUUUACAAACCCGUUCUGUUACCAAACGAAAAGAAAAUUAGAAAGCCGUUUAUCUUCUUGACUCUUAUUUAAACUCUUUCUUGAAAUUUUAUGUUUUACUAACAAAAUUUAACUGGGAGCUGGAAAUUUUUAUGAUUUGCAAAAAUGCCCAAACAAUCCUUCAACUCAGGUCAUAAUAAGUUGGCCGGUUUAACGUGGCCACGUAUAAUAAUAAAAAACAUCAUAUGUAAACAACAGACCAAAAUAAAUGAUCAAUCAUAAGUUUGAUUAGCUCGACUCAAAGACCGGUUGUGAUAGUAUAGUACUAGUCUAAAACUAAUGGCCACAUUGUUAAAGUUAUAGAUAGUCUUAUAUGUUAUGUUUAUGUUGUUCAUUAUAUACAUUUAAGUAUUUAAGAAAAACUAAUGUGCCUAGGUUUGAAAAUAAUUAAUCAGGCUAUUCAGAAAUGAAACUUAAGUGAUGUAAUAAGAAUUUGUGGGGAGUUCUUUUCUACUUCGUAGCAGAAAGAAGAAAGAAUAUUUUAGAAGAAUGAUGUAAUAAUUUGCCUACCAACACUAAUUAUAUAAACAAAGAAGAUUUGUUUUUGGCAAAAAAGGAAAAGAUUUGUAUUGGCACUCGUGUGCAAGAUGAUGAUGAUAUAUGAACCCCACCAUUCUCAACCUCAAGCUUUUCACUUCUACUCUACAUCUCUCAUUUUCUAAAAUAUUCAUAUCGCUCUCUAUCUUCUAGACUUUUCAAUCCAUUCACUAGACUGGAAUGUCGUAUAUGGAAAGGACAAUGUAUCCUCUCUUUCAACCAAUUGAGUUGAGGUAAGGAAAUGUAUUAAAAGCGUCUCACUCGUUAGGUAUAUAAGGUUUAAGAGCAAUUAAUAAAGUAAUCAAAGGAAAGGGUACGUAAUCUAUUUUACAAUUCAUAAAAAUGGGUUUUCGUCAAAGUAAAAAAGGCAGCUUAAGGUGGAUUGGUCUUUAGUGUUUAACAGCCAAACCAGAUUUGCUGUCACUAGCGAUUAGGAUGCAUUAUAUUUGCUUAAUUAGUUUGUAUAUAUAUCCAAUCUUACGUUUUGUACUAGACAUUCUUUUUGUAAAAAAAUGUAGUUGAAUGUGUGUUGUGGUUUGUCAACUUCGUUUGUUUCCAAAUUAUUUGAAAGAUACCCUGGUACAGACAAAGGAUUUAAACUGUAAGAAAACUUCAGAACUAUUGAGUUUCCCUACAAUUUUCAUAUGUUACAAGCUUGGAUAUACGAAAAUGUUUCAUGAAGUAUUCAUGAAUUCCUUAUCCCGGCACUUGAUUAUUUUUAAAGUGUUUUGUCUCUUUAACACUCAUUUGCAUCAAAUUUGAUAUAUUAUUUGACCACACCUUUUACCGAAAUGAUUAGAAAAUCCACUGACAUACACAAAAUCAAAAAUUUAUAAAACGAAUAUAAUUUGAUAAUUUCAGUACAUCUUCGAUCAUCUUUACCCACCAAAAUUUUCGUGUGCCAUAGAUAAUCUACUAAAGCAACGAAAUGGACAUGUAUCACUCUUUUUUUUUUUGGUCAAAUGGACAUGUAUCACUUAAAAGACACAAAACCGACAUAACGCUAGGUCGGUGAGAUAAAUUAUUUUUAUCCUAAAGAUUAGCCUGAUUAUGACUAUACCCUCAUAAUAUAUUAUAAUUAUUACGUUUAAUCUUGUGAUUUUACUAUGUUACCUAAUGUUCUUUCCAGACAAAGUUUAUUCUUCUGAGAGCAUUAUUGUUUAUGUUGUUUCUUUAUACGUUUAUUCUCUAUUAUCUAACUCGAAAACAACCGUUCUGAAAGGCUCGUUUCUUGCUUUCCAGUAACUUAAAGAAGGUUAUUCACUUGAUGAUGACGAAACAAAAGUCGGAUAAAAAGUUUAUCAUUUCAAACCUUCCCAUAAUUAUGGAUAAUCUAUAAAACAAAACGGUAUUUUCGUCCGUCCAUGUUGGAAUCAUUCCAAUUUUUAUACUGUUACACAUGUCUAAGACCAAAUAUUCAACUUAAGUAAGAAACCAAAACUUUGAUGGUUUGGUAGUAGUGUGAAGGUUCACUUAUGUCAUGGUUACAGAUCUUCUUUUCUACAGAAUGUUAUUUUUGAAAUUAGAAUUUCUAAAGAGUGAUUGAUGCCCUAGAAGAGAUUACAGAGCUAAAAUACGGAGCUUCCAUUAUUAACAAAAGAAACUUAAGUUUGCAGUACAAACUCAACCAUAGAAGGUUGGAUGGAUGGUAUAAAAGAGAAAUACGAAAUGUCAGCAUAGUUAGAAACGAUACAAAAUAGUAGUAAAAGUUGGUGAUGUGCUAAAAAUGGUGAUAUACCUUCCAGUGCCACCAGAUGGUUACAUGACAUGGUAUACGAUGUACCAAGGCAGUAAAACAUUACUAAUCAAAGCAAACGAUAUUAAUUCGAAAUUCUAGGUUGGGAAUUUAAAUUACAAACAGUUAUUUUCGUACGAGAAACCGUUAUCUCUAUCUGGAUUUAUACUAACACACUUUUAUAAGUGCGAUUAACUCGAUCAACCUAUACUUAAUAUUCCUGAUGAGAACGUUCUUUUGAUGGAUGAUUAAAGGGAAAAUGAAAUACAAUAAACUAUAUAAUUACUGAUGUAGGAAUGAUACUGAUGUCUUUACAAAAUAAAACAAAAAAAUAUAAUGUAUGUGCUGAAUUUAUUCUUCAACUUGAUAACAUUUCUAUUAAAAAGGGCAGUGGCAACUAGGCCUGGGCAUUCGGGUCGUCGGGUCGGAUUCGGAUCGGGUCCUUUCGGGUCCGGGUUUUUCGGGUCUAAAAGAGUUUAGGACCCGAUAGGGUAAUUUCAAAUUUUCGGUUCCGGGUCGGUUCGGGUCGUGCCGGGUCCGGGUCGGAUCGGGUCUUAGAUAGUUAGACCCAUUCGGGUAAUUAGAAUUUAUCGGUUCGGAUUCGGUUCGGUUUCGGGUCGGGUUCGGUUCGGGUUCGAUCUAAAAAAAACCUAAAAAUACAAAAAAAUAUCUGAAAAUAUUUAUAUAUCCGAAAAUAUUCAAAAUUUUAUUCAAAAUUUGUGUGUUUUAUUAUAUUAAAAUGUGUAUAUAUACUAAACUAUGCGAAAUACAACAACAAUUCGUUGUCUCCUAGUGGUUGACCCCCAUAUUCUCUAGACAAAUAACCCAUCUUCGAUUCCCCUUGAUGCAUUUUAUUUAAUUUACAUUAUUAAUUCGGAUAUUCAUCGGGUUUCGGGUUCGGGUCGGGUCGGGUCCAAGACCCGCGGGUCCUCUACAACAAGACCCGAUAGGGUAAUUUGAUCGGGUCGAUUCCUACCCGAACCAGGUUUUUUCGGUUCGGUUUCGGGUCGGGUCUUCGGGUCCGGGUAAAAUGCCCAGGCCUAGUGGCAACACAAGGUUGAGAAAACGAAAUGUGAGGAUCAUGUGUACCUUCAACAUAAACAAAUGUAUGAUUUGUUAGAGCUCUGGUCUCUAGAGGGACUAAAGAAUUUGUCCACGCUUCAAAUCAAGGGGCGUAGUAUAGAAAAUGUGAAGUUUGAUAAGACGUAAUAACAAUAUGUUCAAAUUUGGCUACACGCUACUGAAUGGUUGUGUGCCCGAGAGAAUAGCAUGCUUUUGCAAACGAGCUCUCUACGUAAAUUAAAUAUCUGAAGAUAUAUAUAUAUAUAUAUAUAUAUAUAUUUUUUUUUUAAUAUCUGAAGAGUUAGUUCGACGGAUUCAUCUCAAUAACGUUAAAGCAGAUUUCUCUGCUCGAGAUACCCAACAAAUACAGAUUUCUUUCCUUUGGUAUAUUUUUUAGCAAGCUCUAUAAACAACAUUUUUGAAUCAAUGAUAAAAUGCUUUUGUUGUAUAAUAAGAUGAGUCAAAAGUGUUUUUUUUUUCAUUUAAGAGUAGACUAUGUUUUCAUGUCGACUACAUUAGUCACAUGAGUUUGAUCUAAGGAAAAAUGAGUUACAUGAGAACUAUUUUGUCAUUCUGUACAUAUGACCUUCUAUCGAAACAUUCGGAUCUGACAAUUUCUUGAGACGAGUUAGAUAAGAUUUUGUUGUCUGGAUAUAUGGUCCAACCAUUUGGUCCACUAUAUGGAUAGCAUGAUCAAAGUUUUGUUUAUUUUAUUUGAUUUAAAACACUAUUACUAUCUAUGAGGUCACCAUAAUAUGUGCGUUCCCCUAUCGUUCAUGCAAUCAUGCGUUUCAUCUUUUUAAUAAGUUCAGUUUUUUUUUAUGGUGGGCUAUUAAUAUGGUUGGUUAACAAUAACAAGUGCCUGCUAUUUUUUAUUGGAGAAAUUGAACAAAAAAACAAUAUAGUUGUCAUUAUAGUAUAAAACCAUUUUUAUCCAUUUUCUCUCUCUUUUACCCUUUUAUUUCUGAAUAUUAAUGAAAUAAAUAGUUUUAUAAAUUCAAAAAAAUAUUAAAAAUAUAAACAAUUAAUAAAACACCUAUAUACAUAAACAUAUAUUUUUUUGGUUGAAAAACUUGAUAAAUAAAAACUUAAAAUUACGUUAUACUAAAAGUAGAAUUCGUCUUCUACAGAAAAUGGGUAAGUAGAAAACGAAUUCCAGAAUAAACAAGUCCAUCUAUUUUUUUUAGAAAAAACAAUCUACUUAUGAUUAAAAUUCUAAAUAUGAGGAAUGCAAAUUCUACUAAUUGUAAAGAUUUUUACUUUUAUCUUGAAUACAGUUUCUACUUUUAUGAAGUAUUCUGAAAUUUUGGGUAUGCGAAAUCUAAACUUAACACAAACGUCUACAAGAAGUAGAAAUUGUAUUCAUGAUUUUUAUUAUGAUUCUACACGGUGUAGAAGGUGUCUUCUACGGAUAAAAAAAACUGGUUUUCCGAAAAUUAAGGAAGUUUCAGUUAAAAAUAUAUUAUAAUUUCCUAAAACAUAUUCUGGUCGAUUUUUUUUGUCAAAAUAUAAAAAAAAAAUGAUUUUGGUUUUUCUUUUUCAUCAAUCUAUGAUUUCUCCAUAGUUUGUCAUUUGAUUUUUACAAACUCUUGUUCUAUGACUAAGGAACAAAUUUUUGGUAGUUUCAUGCAUCGUGUGAAACUACUUAAUUUUCUUGGUUGCUGCUAGUGGUUCGAGCAUGUCUUAUACUUUGUUCUUUUUUUUUUGAAAUCUCAUUUGCCAAUGUCAUAAUAGCUUCAGGAUACAGAUUAGCUAUCAUAAAAGAAAGCUAGAAAAGAAAGAAGAAGAAUAUCAUUAAUCUGCAAGAUUAUUACAAAUAACGUAGUACCCACGACAAAGUUGGAAACUGCAAACCAACUAGAGAUAGAGAUGCAACGGCAUCUCUAACGUUCAUUCUGCUUAACCUGAACGGUCGAUGCCUAAGUCUGGAUAAGUGUCAUCACCAAUAGAAACGUAGAGCCGAUGGUGGCUGUCCAUGUCUAUGGGUUACCAAAAUACACACGCUUGAGGAUGGCAUUUGACCUAUUCAUCAUGUUUCUAUAGUACUUGUUGACUUCACCCGCUAUAUCAUAAUAGUAAGAACCAGGAUCUACGAUGACUGUCACGAGCUUGUUCACCAUCUGCGCAACUUUAGCGGGUUGCCAAAUCCAACUUUUUAGUAUUCCUUUCAAACCAGAAACCACCACAAAUCAUUCAAUGCACACGUUUUAUAUAUACUGAUAUAAAAUAAAGAGAAAUGAGUUACCUUUCUCGAGAAGCAAGUCAACGUCUUUAUCAGUGUCAAUGAGAUAAUCUAAAAAUAAGGCGUAGCUACAGACGUGGGUGUGUUUAGGGUAAUGGCACUGCUCAAGAGCUAUUAUGUUUCUCUGUUUUAUCUCACGGCUGUCCUGCAAAGAAGAAAGAGAUAGUUUAGACAUAACACAAAAUCAUAUAGGAUCUGAACAAAUCAAUCGUAGAAAUAUCAAAAUCGAAAACAAAAAAAACUAAAGAAAAA